ACACAAAAAUGUUAGGAGGCGUGAGAGACUUCUCUCACCGCCCUCCUACCAACCUACCACCGUGCAUUUGGUUUAUACUAUCGUUGCGAUUCUGUUAUGGGAUCAACUUUGUGGUCCCUCUCCUACUCCUUCAUGGGAGUUUGGGUGGACCCAAAUACUUUUUACACCACUUUACACUCUUUACCUUUUUGUGAGCUAUGUGCUCCAUAUUCAAACUCUGAAA
rnacentral:misc_RNA from 1 species